ensembl:lncRNA
ACAACAAAAAUGGAUGUGAUGGAUCAGGAGCAGAACGGUGGGGGUGAGUUGAAAUCAGCCUUCCCGGCUGUCCACAGGCAAGGCGAGUCAAGCGGCUGUCAAACAAAGCUGCAGUUAUUACACCAUUAGCCAAGUAGGGGCUGUAUUACAUUACUGAUCUCAUCAGUGGCUAAAAGCAUUCACCUGCACUCACUUUUCAAGUGUCACUCAUACUUCAGAGCUCGCUGUCUUUGGACACGGCAUCUAGAUUUCAAGACGGCUGAGCAGGGAUCCAAAGUGACAUGCUGUACUGGAAAAAGAGAUGACUUUCCCCGAGAAUAGAAGAACUGGUCGGAGGAGUGCAGGCAGUGGAAAGCCGUGCCGGUACCAGACCUCGGAUCCUGCUGUUUGGAGAUCAGAUGUGCUGGAACGGGACGUGGAAGUAAGCAGUGCGGGAAGCCCGGACCCUGGCACACACCUCGCGGUGGGGAGGCCUGACCUUGACCGUCGGCGGAGUCUGGCCAAAAAAUCCCACAGAGAAAUCAGGGGGAAAAAAGGGCUAAAUUAAUCGAAGUAAUUGAUCCUGCUGCGCACAGGGAUUUAAAACACCCCCACACCCGUGCGCAGCAGCAAAAUGUGUAAUGGCAAGUUGUUCUGUUAAAUGGGGUUGGCAAAAAGGAUUGAAUUAAUUGGCUUUAUAGACCUAUGAAAAAAAAGCCUCACCUCAGGGCAUCUCACCUUUAGAAAUCUUUGUGACUUCAAUGGUCUUGAGGUAUGAAAAGCCAGCACUGGGGGUUAAAUCGUGUUCCCUGCAUGCUAUGGGGGUUUCUGCAGGCAGACAUAUACAUCGUUUGAUGAUUAAAAAUGAAAGGCACUAGCUGAAUGUCAGGUGCUCAGUGGGGAUAUAGAGGAAUGCAUUUUGAUGAGACAUCUGAAUCUAUGUGAGACACUUGAGUCUGAUUGGGUUAAUGUGAUUUUCACGACUCGCAAAUACAUUCAUGUUGUUCUUCAGUAUGGGAGACAAGAUGUCUUAGUGUAUGCCAUCUUGUAGGAAAAAGUGCCUGAGAUUUAAUUGCAUAUUAACACAACUGAUGUGUGCAGGCCCCUUAGCAAGGGUCAUUUGAAUGUUAACCAGAAUCUAUGUCAGACACACUGUGUUACAUUAGUCUCCAUUCCUCUCAUCUCUAUGAGUCAAACAGGAAGAAGAAGAAUACCCACAAGCUAAUUCUCUCUGUAUUCAUGUGUUUCAGAAUUAUUUUGUUUCAUCGUUUAUGCUGUGCCCUCAGAUUUAUUUUUAUCUAUGGGGCUUGAGGGGACCCUUUAAUAUAAUUAACUCACACUGUAUUGUAAAUAGGAAUGCAUUAACAUUAAUUGAAAUAGUAGACAAGGAUUGCUCUUCCUGACAGAACUGUCACAGGUAUGGUUUCAUCUGUGCUAUGGGUCAUUUAAAUUAUUUGUCAUUGAUCAAAACAAAAACAUUAGGCAGUAUAAUGUUUCCUUUAUGUGCUGUAAUUUCAAUAUGCAGACACAGAAUAAUAUAUAGCUGUGAUCUUGCUUUUCAAAGAAGAUACACUGGAGCAAUUAUAGUUUCAAAAUUGCGAAGAGUUAAAUGUAUAAUGUUAUUAAUACUUGUGAUGGACCUCGGAUAUCAUUUCUGCGGUGUAUGACUAUCUGGAUGCAGUAACGACUCACUUAAGUGUCUCCAGCUGAUAGAAGAGGCAGCCACUCUGCAGCGAAGGGAGAGAGCAGUCACCCCACCUGGCCUUGAACUCAGGUCUACGGGGUACCAAACCUGCACCCUGACCGCAAUGCCAAAGAGCCAGACUCAGUGGUAUGGCAGUCAGAGCACAUACUCAUCGACAGUGAUGGCAAUCCGUCAUACUGCACUCAUGCGCUUCACGCACACAGGCAUCCCUCACACAUCCUCCAACCGUACUUCUCCCAUCCCAGGGUGCCCCACACAAUAGUGCUUCACCCAUCUCUGGGGUUUCUCACACAGGGGUCAACCUAGCCUGGGGGUUCCCUCAUACGGUUCACAUACUGGUCACGCCUCCGUUUUUUUUAGCACUGCAGCUCUACCCCUUCAUGGUGCAGUAUAGAGCGGGAAAGCAGAACACUGUGGCAGACUCCAGAGGGGGAGAGAAAUGUGAGAAAGUGAAAUCCCCCCUACUCACCCCCGCCUGAAUAGGGUCUGACUCACGUUGCCCCGCAGGAGCGGGAGAGACUGUGAACACUCACGUACACACACCCUCAGACGUCCAUCCACAGACUCUAGGGUUAUUCAUGUCCAUAUUUUCAAUUAGCCACCGUUUCCAUACUGCUACGGACAUUUUAACUAAGAGAGGGUUGGCACGAGUUCAGGUGCUGAUGCCAUUACAUGGUUGUAAUGUGUUUUUCCUGCGGUAUCACAUACAAAACUUAACGCACACACAAUUGUCACUGUUUACCCCUUUUAUGAUGCUCAGCAUCCAUGGCAUGUGCUGUGGUACCCACUAUUUUAUGUCACAUUUAUUCCCUGUUCCCAUAUAAAACGUACUUACCUCUUACUUACUUCAUACAUACUGUUACUCACACUUCCUCAAUCAUCACUCCCGUCCUGCUGCGCCUGUGCAAAAGUGUGCCACUGAGGAUUAGUAUUUCUCUACGUCACAUGGGGAGGGAGAAGGGAAUUGUCCUGAGGGGUGUUGGAUGUUCAGCUUGUUAUGAAUGUAUAUGUUAAUAAUAUGUGUGGUGUGCGUAGUGUGUGUAAUAUGUGGCUUUGGGUGCAUUGGUUUAACUUGGUGUUGGUGUUAUGCAUAUGUUAAUGCCACUUAUUGUGGUGUUUUUGGUACUUAUGUGGGGAGGGCUCCCCUGCUUCAGUGGUUGUGUCCAACUAGGUCUGAUUUGCCCAAUUUGGCUCAAAGGGCUGUAUUAUUUAAAUGGUGCCUCAUUUCUUCAGAUGGGGGCAUCAGAAGAGUGGUUGCCUGCUGUGAGGUUGAGUCUUUUCCGUGUUAACUGUUUUGCUAGUUUUGAGCACUUAAGUACUUUUUUAGUUUUGAUUUAUUUUAAUUGGUUUACAUGUUUGGGUCCUUGGGAGUAAUCCCCUCUUAAAUAAAUAAAAAAUUCUAACUAAAAGAACAUUGCCUGCACCUUUUUUCCCUGCCUUCACCACCUACUCCAGUUAGCCCACAUCCCAACACGUGGGGUGGCCGCCUUGGUCCCUCACACACUUACUAGAACCCAAAAAUAUGAACACAUUUCUCGCUUCUCUUCACUGGCUCCCUGUCAAAAGCAGAAUCAAUUUAAAAAUACUCGUUCUAACAUUCAUAGCCCUGAGCUGCCUAGCACCGGACUACAUUAGGGAUUUACAUAUCCUGUAUUGCCCAUCAACAACUCUCUGAACUCAAAAUGCAGGCCUCGUAAUUCCAACUGUCAAAAGAGGCAGAGCCUUUUAUUAUCAAGCUUUCCUCCUUAGGAAUAAUCUUUCUUCCUUUAUCUGAGAAGCGGACACCCUCUCUGCUUUUAAGGCUAGACUUAAAACGUUCUUCUUUAUUACUCCCUAAUGGCA